rnacentral:rRNA from 1 species
AUUGAACGCUGGCGGCAUGCUUUACACAUGCAAGUCGAACGGUAACAGGCCUUCGGGUGCUGACGAGUGGCGAACGGGUGAGUAAUGCAUCGGAACGUGCCCAGAGGUGGGGGAUAACGCAGCGAAAGCUGUGCUAAUACCGCAUGUGAUCUGAGGAUGAAAGCGGGGGACCAGGCAGCAAUGUUUGGCCUCGCGCCUUUGGAGCGGCCGAUGUCAGAUUAGGUAGUUGGUGGGGUAAAGGCCUACCAAGCCGACGAUCUGUAGCUGGUCUGAGAGGACGACCAGCCACACUGGGACUGAGCCACGGCCCAGACUCCUACGGGAGGCAGCAGUGGGGAAUUUUGGACAAUGGGCGCAAGCCUGAUCCAGCAAUGCCGAGUGCGGGAAGAAGGCCUUCGGGUUGUAAACCGCUUUUGUACGGAACGAAAAGGCUCUGGCUAAUACCUGGGGCUGAUGACGGUACCGUAAGAAUAAGCACCGGCUAACUACGUG